UGCUACCCUCGCUGACGAGCGGCGGACGGGUGAGUAAUGCAUAGGAAACUGCCCAGUAGUGGGGGAUAGCCCGGGGAAACCCGGAUUAAUACCGCGUACGCCCUUCGGGGGAAAGCAGGGGAUCUUCGGACCUUGCGCUAUUGGAUGUGCCUAUGUCGGAUUAGCUAGUUGGUGGGGUAAAGGCCUACCAAGGCGACGAUCCGUAGCUGGUCUGAGAGGAUGAUCAGCCACAUCGGGACUGAGACACGGCCCGAACUCCUACGGGAGGCAGCAGUGGGGAAUAUUGGACAAUGGGGGCAACCCUGAUCCAGCCAUGCCGCGUGUGUGAAGAAGGCUUUCGGGUUGUAAAGCACUUUCAGUGAGGAGGAAAACUCUGCGACUAAUACUCGUAGGGCUUGACGUUACUCACAGAAGAAGCACCGGCUAACUCCGUGCCAGCAGCCGCGGUAAUACGGAGGGUGCAAGCGUUAAUCGGAAUUACUGGGCGUAAAGCGCGCGUAGGUGGUUUGAUAAGCGAGAUGUGAAAGCCCCGGGCUUAACCUGGGAACGGCAUUUCGAACUGUCAGGCUAGAGUAUGGUAGAGGGUAGUGGAAUUUCCU
rnacentral:rRNA from 1 species